GAACAUUUGCCUUCAUUAAAACAUUUGUAUGACCCAAGUUCGUCACAAUUUCUAUCAAUCAUACACACAUGACAGUCAGAAAAGCACGGAUCUGGAGAGGUAGACGAUCUGUGAAGGAUGUUAUUUUAGAAGUUUUGGUUCAUAAGUUAAGAACAUUUAUCAAGAAUGUAUUUAUUAAAGUGGUUUCUGUACUUACAAAACUGUAGCUUAAUACAUGUAAAAUAGUUACUCUCCCCCUCCUGGUCCAGUAAGUGCUGCAGUAAUGUAACCGUUACGGCUACCAUUGGGUUGUACUGACUAAUUGCUAUACUAUUAAGCCUAUGUCUAGCUGUAGUUGGCAUUGCCAUGGUAUACCUUUAGCAGAUCUUAUACUCACAGUAAUGUAGAUGUUAGAAGGGUUUUCCACUAUUUAGAUAAUGAUGGCCCACCCCCGCGAUAGGUAAUCAAUAUCAGAUCAGUUGUGUUUGACGCUCCACACUCCCACCAAUUAGCUUUUCAGACAGCCGCC